rnacentral:rRNA from 1 species
ACGCUCGACACCUACGGGAAGCAGCAGUGGGGAAUAUUGCACAAUGGGGGAAACCCUGAUGCAGCGACGCCGCGUGAAGGAAGAAGUAUCUCGGUAUGUAAACUUCUAUCAGCAGGGAAGAAAAUGACGGUAUCUGACUAAGAAGCCCCGGCUAACUACGUGCCAGCAGGCGCGGUAAUCUGAGCGGGCUGGCAAGGC